rnacentral:lncRNA from 1 species
GCAUGCUCAACAAACAAUUGUUCAGUAUUACCAAAAUGCGCUAACUCAAUCCGAGAGUCGUGUUAACCUCAAGUGCAGCUUACCUUAAAAGAAAAAUCAACAGGCUCAUUAAAUCAGGUAAAGGGAAAAUACAUAAUAUACCAUCUUAAUGAGAUAUUAGGAUGUUAAAGGGAAAAUACAUAAUAUACCAUCUUAAUGAGAUAUUAGGAUGUUAAUAAUCAAAGCACAAAAAUGUACUGCACUAAAUAGCAGUAAAUAAAAGCAGUUCAAGCCAAUAAUGUCUCCAUCUGUUACUUUAAAGAAAAUCAUUGUUAUCAAAAAUAAGGACAUGGAAGAGUAACUAAUUGAUUGCAAACAAAAAUAGAAUCACAACAUAAUUCUCAAAACGACAAUGAUUAUGAGUACGAUUAGAAAAUAAAUCUCAAAACUACAAUGGUUGUGAGCUAUUUAUUAUUCGAAGUUAUGGUCGGGUCACAUGAAAUGUGCACCCAAAUUGGGAAAUUCUGUAUCACAACUACGCCACGGGAACCGUACCCAUAGUUGUGAUGAUUUAAUUACUCUCGCCUAAAGCAAAUAUAUGAAUGUUUAUAAGAAUUAUUUUUUCCAAACUUGUACGCGGAAAAAUAAGAAGGAUUGAUUUUUUGCUCUCAAAAUGCUACGAAGGCUUUUUCCUGAAGACCCCGAGGGUGGGAUGCCUCGACCGAGUGUGGGCCUCAAGGCUCGACGAAGUCCGACUCGAAGGAAGAAAGAUCCGAGAUCGGGAUAGAAGGAGAAGUCUCCUACGCACGUGACUACACCUGACAUGUCCAGCCUAUCUAUAGCCUAUUAUGAUGUUUCGUGUCAAGCCAUCCCAUCCUUGUACUCUCGUAGUCAACACAUGUGUAUUAUACCGAGUCCCCUCGCCUAUAUAAGGGGGACUCACCCUAACUUGUAGGGGACUAAUGUUGCUCCACUUCUCCACAAAUACAAUAAUCUCUCUCUCUCUCUCUCUCUCUCUCUCUCUCUCUCUCUCUCUCUCUCUCUCUCUUUCUUUUAAGAUAUUUAUCUCCAUCGACCUCGAGGUCGCUUUAGUACUUUAUUGUUUCAUCGUUUGUUCUUCAUUAUAUUUCUUAGUUUUGAUAGUAUAGAUCUUGGCUCAACUGUAUUAUACUUGCUAUCGCCUUCCCGACUAUCCUCGAUAAGCCCGAGAUAGGCUCGAGGCUCGGCUCCGAGGUACCUACUAGCUGGCUUUGCGCUUGGGAACGUCCCCUUACUGGUUCGAUUAUCGCUUUGUUUAACCCGAUCUCUAUCGCUUUACUUCACGUUUUAGCACUACUCACCCUCACAAGCUAGCUUGGGAAUAGAUUUUAUAUUUUUAGAAUCUCAUUUACAAAAUUAAUUAUUGUUACCAUUUUUAUGGCAAACAGUUUGGCGCCCACCGUGUGGCUAAAAAUAAUAGUAAUUAUUUUCUUGCUAGUUUCAUUACUUGAACACACAGUAUCUUUCACAAUUUUUUUGCCCAAGAUCUUUCUAUUUCAGGUGAAGGAUCGGCUUGAAAAGGGAAAUCAAGAACGACGACCCCAAAAAUCAUGAAGAGAGCGGUAUGGCCGUAAGACCUUGAUAACACAUCUAGAUCGGUUCAAGAAAAUGCAGAUCUACAUACCGUGCAGCAGGGUAACGAAGUCUUAGUCACUAAUGUAGGCAUGAAUCACGUCGACUAACAGGAAGCCCGAAUGAUCCCAGCUCGGGCAGAGCAGGAAGCUAACCUUCGUAUUAUUUUUGAAAUGUUGUUGGAACAACAUUUGGCUAUACUUAGCUAUAGAGUUGCCCGGAGACUCCCAGCGUGGCAGUACAUGAAAUACCCCCUCAUAUCGAACCAGUACUCGACGUAUUGCAGAAUGAUAUCAGUAAGGAUGAUGGAAGACCUUGUCGCAAAUAUUGAAUCAUGCUCAUGGAAACUCCUCCAACAACCACUGCCUGAAGGUAUGAUCCUGGGACUCACUUCGCGAAAGUCAGAAACAACGAAACCCCCAGGAGCGGAAGGACCUCAAGUCCUCAAGGAUGCAUCACCACUAACGCACGCCCUUCCAAGGACAACGACCUCCAAAAUGGAGAACUGAUCUGAGCCUACUCAGCACCACUAAAGAGUAGCGAGAGAGGGCCGCAGUAGCUUUUAACUAAUUUGUGUGUCGGGAUUGAUUUCCUCAAGGAGCUAGGAACGGAGUCGAGUAUCUAUUUAGGUUGGAAUUUCGUAUUUGUUCCAAUUGUCACUUCUAUUCAUUUUUGGUUUUUCUUUAUAUUCUACUAUGAUCAAACUACAAGUUAUAAUAUCAACUAAGUUAAACUAAGAGUAAAUUGUUACAAGAUGGUUCUAAUGGUUUAAAAGGCACUAGGGUAGUGACUGUUACCUAGUUGGCCAAUUGACGGGUAAUUUCAUCUAAGACAUGAUUAACAUAAUUGGUGAAUAUGUUAUAAUUUUUGCUCGAUACUGCCCACUCUACACCUCUCGGUAGAAAGAGUGGUUUUGCCUAAUUAACUUUCUCAAGACCAAUUGGGUAUGCAUAAUUGCCCAAGCAGCUAGGUUUCAAGUUGGGUAACUACUCUCUCGAGAUUUAACCCUUUAAUUGUGACUAUCAAAUCUCGUGAGUCUAUCCCAAUUCCUUGUUGAGUCAAUUUUGGAGACAUAGGUUCUCUUUCUCAAGAAGAACCCAAGUCAACUUAGUAAAAACUAGUGUUUGCAAUUACUAAUUCAUAAAUUAAACCAUAAAAUUGACCCAAAAAACAAAAACUCAUAGUCAAUCUAACCUUAAAUCAAAACACCCAUCAAUUACUCACACUAGCGUUGAGCCACAACCCUAGCUAAUAGGUCUAUCUACCCAUGCUUGAAGAUAAAAUCAGAGAAAUAGAUGAAGAGAAAGACAUGUUAAUUAAUUACUAAAGUAAAUACAAAGAUUCAACGAUUAAAUCUACAUAAAAGUGCCCAAAAUGGCUACAAAAAGUCUUCUCACGAGCGCAGCUGAAGUCUGAUAAUAUCUAAUACCCUAAAAAUGGAAAAAUGUUCUAUUUAUACUAAGAUGGAAAAACUGGACAAAAAUGCCCCUGCGGGAUUCGUGCGGACCGCACAAAAUGAUGUACGGCCACACUAGGCUCUUGACUCUGCAAAUUCAACUAUCUGAACCCAAGCUCCGCAGACCGCAUAGAAUGAACCAUGGCCGUAGAGGCUUCUAAUGCGGUCCACGCUGAAUGGAGUGUGGACUGCACAGGCUUCAUAUUCUGAACUUUGCAUCUCUCUGAAGUUUGGUUUUGCGGAUCACACAUAAUGGUAGUGCGGCCGCGGUGCCUUCAGUGCGGUCCGCACAAUAUCUACUCUAGUCGCACUACCUUGAUGCCUGAAAAUCCAUGCUUCAAAGAAGGUUAUUUUGGCUUAUCCACAACAAGAAACCUCUCCAUAAAAUACAUCCCAAAACACUCGGAGACUUAAAGCAACUUGGCAUCCACCCUAUCUAUGGGUCGGUAUUCCAGGCUCAUGAAGCCCUCACAAACGCAACACCGGUUUCGCAACAAACUAUCUUCAAGCUUGAGCAGAAUUUGGUGUUUCGGUAAAUCAUCUCCAACCGCAAUGUACUGGAAGUCAAAAAUUGUAAGACCCUAACGGGUCGCCUCAUCAUAGCCAAAUAUAUUCUCCAUACACUGUUAGACCUCAAGAGCCAUGGAAAACUGUAAGACCUCAACAAGCAUGAAAGAUCCCGCAGUCUAGGCCAUAUGUCGCAUUUGUAAGAAUCCCUAAAGGGCAUACCCUCGGUGUAGAUGCCUAGAACUACUUCUCGGGAUCAAAAUGCCUCGGCCAAAUGCACAUGACUCCGAUUAUAACGGCUAUUACAACCCAAAAACACGUCUCGUGGAUGCCCGACUCGCUAAAAAAUCAUCCAAAUCUACUUCGGAAAGAACCCGUUAAAAAAGGCUUUCCAUAAUAGGAGAAAAAUAUAAGUCCUGACCACAUCGGCUCAGAAAUCGCAAAAGCGUUGAUCUACUUUACCUAUGAGCUAUGAACCUUACAAGGUGCUCAAAACAUCACCGACUAUGACUUGAAAUCGAGGUUCUUUUAGAACUGACGACGGAUAAGGCAAACACAUUCAAUAAGACCUUAACAAGAGGAAACAAAGCCUACAAAGAGCCUCCAUGCCUCAUAUCGAAAUGUCUCCACGACCAAACAACGUAAAUGCAUCGCCGGCUAAGCACAUCUCCGGGCCUCACAUCGAAAGGUCUCUAUGACCAAACAGCGUAAGAGCCAUUGUCCGGAUUGAAAAUUGACAACUUGAGGAUUACAGUGAUCUCAAAUCGUAAACCAACUCAGAGAUCGGAUAAAAAAUAGUUAAGUAAGCAGAGCCUUCGGGUCUCAUACUAAAAGUUCUCAACAAUCAAGCAAUAGAAAACCAUCAUCACUGGCAGAAAAAGAUUCGAGGAUUGAUUACAGCUCGAGUUGCAACACGACUCGAAGACUGGGCCCUGAAAUUAUAACAUGCUUGAGGGCAUGACAUCGAUAUUAUUAUCGCCAACCCCAAUCUUCGAAAAUAUCAAGGGUCGAUUGCAGCUUGAAUCUUAAUACGACUCGAAGACUAGGCCCUAAAAUUAACCAAAAGGCUAAGGGCAAAAAAUGAAAACCAUUUUCGCCAGCCCGCGCAGACCAAAGGAAUAUCGAGCUCAAGUCAGAUCCCAACUCGGGGAUUGAGCACAGGGACGAUUCAAUCACGAUACGCUUAAAGGUACAGCCUAAUCAAUGUUAUCUACGGUCAAGAAAAAUCUCUAGGUUGUGCGCCCCCUAAAUCGCUUCAGCCUGGGAGCACAAAGGGUCAUCACCCUCUACCUAUGAAGGUAGGAAAGAUCUGGGAGGCCGAUCGAAGUUAAAUCCAUAGCGCAACUCGAGGACUAGUUCCAAAACGGUCUUCACGAUCGAGCGAAACAACAGAAAAACUACAAAGGGAAUAAAAUCUUUAAAAGAAUUUCUUCUUAUAUUAUAUGCAAUAAAGAACAUUCUCCACUUACAGGCAUGCCCUGCGCGCAUCGAAAACAUAAUUACAAAACAACAAAGCUCAUAUUUUGCGCCAAAGGGAUACAACUUGCUAAGAUCUCCCUCUGCAACGUCUACAAGGAGCGAUCAAGCGUCAUACAAAGACACCCUUGCUUGAGCCAAUUCCUGCGAGAGAAUGAAGCCCCUCGCUCCAGCCUCCUCAAAUACCUCUCUCUAAGAUCUGCAGCGAACAUAUUCCUCGAUUAUGUUCUCACGAUCAAGGGCUAGCCUCAACUAAGAUUGAGCAUCGGCAGUUUCCUUUAUGCACAUCUCCAUCUCGCGCUCAGCCCUGGUUAGGCUUAAUGCCACUUCCACCCGGGCAUCGGUUAUCUUGGCCCUGACCUUCGAGAGAUCAGACUUUAGCUUUUCAAUCAUAUCCGCCCGAACUUUGGCGUUAUCAUGGGUCAAGGUGAGUUGAACCUCAAGGGUAGGGAUCCUAGACGAAGCACUCAUUUCAUCUAGGGUUUGAGUAUGCACUUGAGCUCUUAUAUCCUCGCAAGCGGCCCUGACGCGGCUCACGCUGCUCUUAAGGUACUCGAAGGCCUCUGUCUUUUUCUGCAACUAAUAUGGAAAGAAGAAAUUAGCCAUGGAGUUAGAAAGAAGCAAAAAAACGCACUACAGGGAGUUACCUAUUCCAUCAAAUAACUCUGAUAGUUUGAGCUCCGAUACGCCUCGUAUCGCCAAUACUGCAGCUCGACUUUCUUCUCCUUGCAAAGAAGCUUAAUGGAUUCUCCUUCAUCUAGGAUCCUUUAAAAUUUGGCCUUUUGACAAAGCAUCUCGGAUUUAGGCCUAUCACAGGCUUGUGCAGGGAAGAUUCGGUGAGAGGAGCAAGAUGCGUGAUACAGGAAAACUAGGCACAAACUCACCGCAAAGUGAAGACGUCAGAUUUCCUCAAGAUCAGAACAUGCUCCAGAUAGUCCUGCCCCAACAGCCUUAGAAGACCGGGCCCCGGGCAAAACGCGCUCGCCCAAGGGAGCCAUUUGCUGAGGAACAGGCGCUCCAGGAACAGCCAACUUAGGCGGCACCCUGUCAAAAAAAAUACGAACCCAGUCAGCACCACUAAAGGAUCCCUUGUAUUGUGGGCUCCGGUCUAUGUUGUUGUUGCCAUUUCUCGGCCCAGAGCCAUCUCACCUCUGAAAAAGCGAUGCCUCGCCCCAGGGAACUGCCCGACAUCUACAAGAAGUGGACCCAACACAAAUGAGAUGGGGAAAUGUUAUCUCGAGUAUACUCCAGCAGGAAAAAAGCAAAAUACGCACAUACCUCGGUGUUUCACUCCCCACCUAACGUAAGACAUAGCUCACCCCCUGUGUUUGUUGCAACAUAAAUAGGUCACCAACCUCCUUACCCAACCAAGAAAAUCAUGAACUUGGCCUGGCGUCCGUGAAGACAGUGUAACAAGACAAAUGGCAUUGUUAUUUGGCUGAUUUUUUCCAUGAGAAAAAUAUGAAAGAGAGAUAAAAGGUCUCACUUACGUGCUUGAUUCCACCCCUCGGGGAAUGGAAGGAACUCCACUGGGAUAAUAUCGGCCGUCUGAACCCGUACGAACCAACUAGCCCACUCUCGAUCUCCGCCCUCGUCCUCAUCAACAACAAAGGGCUUGGGAGAAUGACCCCUCAGAGUUAGCAGGCCUCAAUGAUGGAAGGGUCGAUAUAGCCUAAUGAGAUGAUCAAACAUGAACUCGAGCCUGGAUUUCUCCGCGAAAAAUCUCAUCAUCAGCACUGUUCACCAAAACGACGGAUGAACCUACGCCAAGGUAACCCGAUACUUCAAGAAAAAAUCAAUCACAACCCUAUCAGGAGGGAUGAAUGCAAAGGGGUAUAGGUGCACAUUCGAAAACCCAUCGGCGGAAUCUGCGACGCCUUCACCUGGGGAAAGCACAUGCAGAGUCACCCUUUUGCCCCAUCCGCAAUAUCGUCUCACCAUCUCCAGGUAUCCCUCUUCUAUCAAGGACGCCGUCUCCAGAAUAAAUCUUUCAGCUCCCCAAUGUCACGAACAACAUUCUCCGCCCUUUGCCAUGUCGGUUCCGAGGUGGUCGCCAUGGCCAUGGUAGAGCUGACAAAAUAAAUCAAAGGUACGCUCCAAUACUUUUGCGCCUAGGAAUAUGCAGUCCCCUGUACAGAAACGGGAAAGCGACUAUGUGAAAAUAGUGGAGCCUUGCAGAAAAGCCGAGGCCACUCCACAUAUAUACAAAAAAUGGUGAUGAUUCACCUAUCCAAAACAAGCCUCGGGAGGCCCGCGGCCUCAAUACUGAACGAUCGAUUAAUACCCGGCCAAGGGAAUACCCUCCAACUAACGACAUAGCUAGAGGUGUCGCACGAAUAAUCUCCACGUUCGAGGCAACAUUUCACACUUGGAGCCUUGGUCCCGAGACAGGGCCACGAUAAGCUCCAAAUCACUGAUACCCGGCACAAAGCGAGUGCCUGGGCUUGCGAUCCCUUCUAUAAGGGAGUAAAAUCUAGGAAGCCCCGAUCGUCAAAGCUCCACGAGGUCCCGAAAGAGGUGCCCAAGCAUAGAAAAAAUUCCUCAAAUGGAAAACAACCUUACACUAUCUGAAAAAGUUAUCUACAUCAAAAUCAACAGAGCCUAGAGCCCACCGGGGCGUCAGAAGAUGAUCCGCAUCCAAUGUAGCAUUACCGAAAGCCCUGAGAUUCGAGGCACUUUCUCCAAAGAAAUUAUCACACGCUGAUAGCUUUACCUUAUCCAGUCUAUCCUCCAUUGAUCUGAAGUACAACAAAAGGAUCGGAUGAGAGCCUUGUGUAAGACCCCGUGAAAAUGAGUGCUCAAGUCUUAGCAACUAAUAGAGUCAGUUCCAUCGAUGUGUCAAAAUCCUUUUCUUCUGAUUUUAUACUGAAAAAUCGAGAGUCAAAUUUUUUCGGAAAAAUGUCAUUAUACAAUCAGGAAUGCGGUCGCAGACCAGUUAUGCGGACCGCAUAUCGAUCACAGAAUGAAUUGGAGAAUAGCUAAAUUGGAUGUUGAAAAUGCGGUCCAUUAUGUGAUCGCAUAACAAAUAUGCAGACCGCAUAUCGACCGUAUAGUGAAUCAGAGAGUAGCCAAAUUGGAUGUUGAAAAUUCGUCCAUUAUGCGAUCGCAUAACCAAUAUGCGGACCGCAUAGUCGUCACAUAAAUUUCUCGAGGAUUUGUGGAGGUCAAUUCUGCGGUGCGAUCUGCGACCGCAGAACGUGCAUCCGGAUUGCAUUCUCACUGCAUACCUAAACAGAGAGGUCAACAAUUUGGGACCAUUAUGCGGUCCAAUCUGCGGACCGCAAGUCAACUAUGCGAUCGCAUAGUUGACCGCAGAUCCGUCGGGAACAUUAAUUUUCUAUUUAAACCCGACACUUUUCUAAUAAAACACCCAUACCCCUCAUUUUUACUCAUUAUCUAAAUAAAACAAGAGAGAUGGAAGAGAGAGUUCUUGAGAGAGAAAGGAAUUUCCAUCAAAUUGAUCCUCCAAAACCAUCCGGGUCGGAAAAUUUUAAGUUAUUGUCUUUAUGCCCACUCUUACAGGUAAAGUCCCUAACCCUUUUCCCCGAUUUUUCUGAUUUAAGCUAAGGGAAGGGAGUCUUAUGCUUUAAUUUUGAACUAACAACUGAAAACCCUCAUGCAUGUGGCUCAAACCUAGAAUCUAGUGAAGGAAAAAUUAGAUAAGAGUAUAGGGUUGUGCUAAAUAGCUUGGUGACUGAUAAAUAGGAACAUAAAAAGAGAAUUCGACUCCAGGUAUGUAUGGCUAACCUUGAUUCUUGUGAAAUCGCCUUGCUUGGUAUGUAAAUUUUUUGGAAAUUGAUAUCUAUGUUGGUUAGUUAUGAGCUUCUUGACUGAUUGAUUGUGAAUGCACCUUGUGGUAAAAGUUGAAUAAUAAGUGAUUGAAGGAAUCCGUAAAUGGUGAAACGAGGCUAUUUGUGAUAACAAUGCACUCAAAAUAUUGUGGGCAAUGGUGGUAACUUGAAAUGAGUACGAAUUGUUGAAAGUCAUGAAAUUGGUACUAAUAGUUGUGGAAACACUUGUAACACUAUUGUGAUAAUGUCUUGAGGUGUACUUGUUUGUAUUUGUGACUUGCUAUUUGGUUGUGUUUGUUAUGAAUUGAGACUGUACGGCGGGGUCGGGUUGCGCGCCGCAACACGGUGUAAUAAGGUGUGGGUUGGUGUGAUAAUGGUGGCCGAGGUAAUAAGGAUGGAAAAAGUGAUCGAAAUAACUAUUGGUGUAUAUAUAUAUACACAUACACACACAUUGAACAAAAUUGUGAAAUCAAUGAUGUGGAAUUGUGAAAGGAGACAACAUGAUAGUUUGUAACCUGUGGGGCACUGAUUGCCCCUUUGUUUGUCUAAUUGUACCUCUAUGUGUGUUUGGUUGUUGCUUCUAUUGUUGUGUUCUUGUUCUAUUUGCAUAUUGCUUGAGUUUACUUGCGUCAAGUUUUGUUCAUACAUACCAGUACAAUUCAAAGUACUGACGUCCCUUUUGGCGGGGGCGCUACAUUCGUGUUAUGAUUGUAGGUGGAUCUUUGGCAUGUACUCCCGUCUACCGUCUUGGGUUUACUUGGGACAAGUUUUGUUCAUACAUGCCAGUACAAUUCAAGUAUACUAACGUCCCUUUUGCCGGGGGGCGCUACAUUCGUGUUAUGAUUAUAGGUGGAUCUUCAGCAGGCACUCCAUCCACCGUCUGUAGCUCUUCCUCAUUCCCCGCCAGCUGUAUUGGUGAGCCUCUUUCCUUUUGGGGACCGGUGUGGCUCACGCCACCCUUGUUCUUGUAUUUUGGAGUCUUAUUUUGGUUUUUAUAAAAAGGUAUAGCAGGAGCCUUGUUACCGGCAAGUAUAGUACUACCAUCUUGUAUCCUUAGAGGCUCUGUAGACAUGAAGUGUGGGUCACGAACCAUGUAUUAUGUACUUUGUACUCUAAGUAAUGUAAUUUGUAAACCACAUCAUAUCAUGUAUGUAUGUAUGGCUUGUUAAAAGGUAUUUCAAUCAUAAAUAGCUGUUUCCAUUUGGUUAAUAAAUAAUGAAAAUGUGGGGUAACUCGUGGGUCCGAAAAGGCACCCAGGUCCACUCGACUGGGAAUUCCCGGUUGAGUGCCGGUCAUGUCCCUAGAAUUUGGGGCGUGACACCUUGCCAGUUAGCUAGAGACCAUGGCAAGUCAUAAUUCGAAAAGCUAUGAUUUGAAGAGUCAUUCCCUCCAUCUCCUUGCUCGGAACAACACUCUCCGACAAGAAACCCCCGCCUAAAGAGGUCGAGCUUCAAUGAGCUCUCAACGAUCAGCACCUAGUGCGAGGCAAGCAACUGAUCCCACAAAUCACUCUCUCUAAAGGGGAAGUGUAACCGAUCGUGAAUGCUGCAGAAAGGCCCGAAGAGGCACCCAAACUACACAUGAACUCCUAAGAAGAAGUCCAUCUUAUAUGGUCCGGAGAGGCCAUAUACAUCAAGACUAGUAAGGAUCCCCGGUCACAAAAAGAUGGCUUACAUCUGGAGUAGCAUCCCCGGAACCCUCGAAAUUCGACACAUGAUUUCCAAAACAAACAAAAGGACCUUGAUAGCCCCGACCUAUCAGAUCAGUUUGACAUUGGUCCGAGGCUCGACGACAAAUCUAGAAGAAAACCAUGUCGACCGACAAAGGGUUGAGACAAACUCUCACGUCUAAAUUGAAUAUCAGCGAUUAGCAACAGAAAAAGAUACAUUAGAAAAGCCUUAAAGGGCAUGCAAACAUAUAGAAAACAUAGCCAAUUCAAAAGAAGAAAUCAACAAAGUUCAUUCCUUAUUUAUGAAACGUUCAAGUAUAAUGGCCCACGGGAGGUCGAUGCGUAAAAAUCAAAACCUCGCAAGAGUAUCCACUUGGGAAUAAAAAAGCAAAAAGAGUGCGCAACACAAGGGAAGUACGGGUCCAGAUAUCAAUGGCCGACAAUCCGGCUCUGUAUUGAUAAUUUCAAAAUCUGCCCUUCUUGGGUGCAUAGCCUUGAAGGAGAUAUCUCCAGAAUCGCCCUCGGGAGCUUUAACUCAGCUGUCCACUUUGACGCCGCCAAGACAGAGCAAACAGGGAGCAAGAAGUGAUGACGAAAUGCCACAGCUUCUCGAAGUUCGAGGAUCCUCUUUGGACAGGGAAACUUUGGAAAGACAACAGACCGAACGAUCCUCGGUCCCGUCCGCACGGCUACUUCAAAUACACUUCUUCGAGCAUCGAGUCGUGCGAGCCCCCAGCUCUAGAAAAAGUUCCACAUAGAGUUGGGGUACGAGGGUGAACAGGAUGCAUAGUCCGAACAUCCUUAUACGCAAAGGUGAAACCAACUCUCCACUCAUCACCGUCUCGAGCCAGCACUAGCAGCAGCGGCUAACAUGUCAACGGUCAUAGCAAUAUCAGGACAAUAUGUUUAUGACCGUCACGGAGUGGCCUUGAUGGAUGGCCUCGACGCGGCCCGAAAGAACUCCCCCAAGCAGCCUUAAGACAUGAAGUUUCCGUUGUGAAGAUCAAAGGUAAAAGGAGAUGACGAGAAAGAUGAAGCAAGGCACGCCAGCGGAAGUAUGAAGAUAGAAGAAGCAAUGCCACAAAAUGCCAUCGUUUAUAAGGGGAAAAUGACAUGGUCAUCGAAGCCCUGGAAGCAGCGGGUGCACUUAUUGCUUCUUUGAAAAACUGAAAUGGCGGCCGAAUUUUUGCCUUGAGAAGCGAAAAUGACAAGGCAUCGAGCAGGCACCUGUAAAAUACGUCGUCGGUUGCAAAAGAUUGUGCCUUGAUCCAAAUCGCCAGCACAGUAUCGUUAGAGGGAGCUCAAGGGGUCAAUUGUUAGAAUCAUUUCCCAUCACUUCGUCAUGGAAAAUGCAGAGACUAUUUGUAUGCGACAAAAUUAAAAGGCUUGAGCUUUUGCUAUCAAGACGCUUCUAAGGCGUUUUCUUGAAGACCCCCAGGGUAGGAGGCCUCUACCGAGUGUGGGCCUCAGGGCUCGACGAAGUCCGACUUAAAGGAAGCAAGAUCCGAGGUCGGGGUAGAAGGAGAAGUCUCCUAGGCACGUGACUACACCUAACAUGUCAUGCCUAUCUAGAGCCUAUUAUGAUGUUUUGUGUCAAGCUAUCCCAUCCUUGUACUCUCGCAGUUAACACGUAUGUAUUAUACCGAAUCCCCUCGCAUAUAUAAGGGGGACCCACCCUACCUUGUAAGAGAUUGAUAUUGCUCCACUUCUCCAUAAAUGCAAUAAUGUCUCCAUCAACCUCGAGGUCGCUUUAGCACUUUAUUGUUUCAUCAUUUGUUCUUCAUUAUUUUGCUUAGUUUUGAUAGUAUAGAGCUUGGCUCAAAUGUAUUUUACUUGUUAUCCCCUUCCUGACUAUCCUCGAUAAGCCCGAGAUAGGCUCGAGGCUCGGUUCUGAGGUACCCAUUGGCUGGCUUUGCGCCCGAGGACUGUCCCAUUACUGGUUCCAUUAUCCGUUUGUUUGACUCGAUCUUUAUCACUUUACUUCACAUUUCAUAACUACUCACUCUCACAAACUAGCUCGGGAAUAUAUCACAAAUUUUUAGAAUUCCAUUUACAAAUUUAAUUGUUAUUACCAUUUUCACGGUAAACAAAACUAUUUUGAGAUUGAAUGUAAGGCUACUGGAUUAUGGACAUAAUAUUUGGAUAAGAAAAGUAAAAUUUUAGCUAAUAUGGCAAUUGGCAUGAUUAUCUACAUUAUAAUUAAUUAACGGGCUGACAUUGAAGGCACCUUGAAAUUGGGCGUUUAUUUUACCCAGAUUUCUCAAUAUACCUUAUUAACAUCAACUACAAUAAAUAAUUCCAAUUGCCUUUUAAAACUCAAAUGCAAACAAUCCCAUUCAAUUUUCAAAAGAUAAAUGGCCAAAUAUAGCAAGUCAAAUAAUGAACACAUGAAACUAAACAUGGAUGGCAAUAUUGAAUCAAGUCUCAUUUGCCUAAUUAAAAGGAAUUACAUGAAAGUCUUCACAUACCUAUUUAAAGCAAGAGAUCAACAUGAAGAGCCACAUAAAAAGCUUGAAACGGUCUAAUAUGGAGCUAAAAUGCAAAUAAAAAUCCAAAGCCACAACAAGGAGGGGCAACAACCAUCAGCAACUUCUUACCCUUCACAGCUCGAGAAUCCCAGGAAAAAUGUAGCAAAUUAAUGAGGCCAUUGGCUAAGAGCCCAUAAUUUAGAGGAAAUGAUUAGUCAAAGGAUGGACAGAGCAAAUAAAACUAUAAAAUGACUCAAGAAAUUCAACUGGUUUGACACCUAACACAUUACCACCAAAAGAAUGAGACUGAUUUCUAGUGGUCAUUAUAGAAAGAGGACUUAUAUGUGUUUGGAUUUUAACCAAACACAUAUAGAGAAAAUUUUUAUUAUGUGAUCAGCCAGAACUUAGACGGUCUUUGAGGAGGAAAAUUAAGAAGACGAAAGGGUAUGAAAAUACUAUGUGUUUGGAUUUUAACCAAAGAGGGGGGAAAUGAGUCUGUUCUUGCCAUCUCCAUCUUUUCUCCCUCCCUUUUUGACUCUCUGUGGGUGUGUGUUUAUGAAAAAUGGAGAGGAGGGGUCUCCGCCGCUUCUGAGAGGGAGAGCCAGGCAUAAAAAAUUAGGGUCAUCUCCUUAAUGGGUGUG